rnacentral:misc_RNA from 1 species
UAAAGAUAUUAGAUCAUCUAUGGAGGUAUGCUAUUUCUUCUUAAUCAAUCUAAUACACUAUUCUCUCAUAUCAAUUCUAACUCGAACAUCGAAGGGUUCUCAUCGGAUUCAUACUCGAUGGAUUUCUUACCUAUUUAUUUUUUAUUUUGCAAAUCCAUACUCACAAGAAAUUUUCGUGGGCCGCAUCACAUAGAAGAUAGUUUCUCCUCCAGCUAGAGACUCUGACGAAGAAUACUUUGGAUCAUUUCCAGUUUUGAAUUUAGAAUCACCACUUAAAUAUAUCAGCAGAGUAUAAUGGGGGCUUCCCAUCCCCAAGAUAAACAUUUUCAUCAAUAUGACGUCCAAAACGCUGGCCCGCCUUAUACCUGUAGAAUCUAGAUAUUUGGAAUCAAACCAACAGCAACUUUUCCUCGAAUUAUUUAAGUCCAGACUCUCAUACUGUAUUUGCAAGAACAGGAUCAUUAGCCCACAUUCUGUCAUUGUCUCUAUAAGCUUUUCCUUUCGUUGGACCAAGACUCCCUUGAUGAACAAAUCCAAUAGAUGCUGCAGCUUUGACAAACACCUGCUUUUCCUUCCUCCGCCAUAGAUUCACCUUCCCCUCUCCUCGAAUUAUUUAAGUCCAGACUCUCAUACUGUAUUUGCAAGAACAGGAUCAUUAGCCCACAUUCUGUCAUUGUCUCUAUAAGCUUUUCCUUUCGUUGGACCAAGACUCCCUUGAUGAACAAAUCCAAUAGAUGCUGCAGCUUUGACAAACACCUGCUUUUCCUUCCUCCGCCAUAGAUUCACCUUCCCCUC